AAUUAUCAAAGACAGCAGAAACGAAAAGAACGUUACUCUUUUCUUUCUCUUGUGUGUUGUUUUUUCUAUUUUUCUUUUCAGUUUUGAAUCGCAAACAUAUUUCAAUUGCUAAGACGAGAAACGGAUAACACAUACCAAUUGACGAAUUAACAACGAAAGA
rnacentral:ribozyme from 1 species